AGUGAACGCUGGCGGCGUGCUUAACACAUGCAAGUCGAACGGUAACAGGAAGUAGCUUGCUACUUUGCUGACGAGUGGCGCACGGGUGAGUAAUAUAUAGUUAAUGUGCCUCGAAGACUGGGAUAGCCACUGGAAACGGUGAUUAAUACUAGAUACACCUAUUUGACAUAAGUUAAAUAGGGAAAUGUUUUUUCGCUUCGAGAUCAGACUAUAUCCUAUCAGUUAGUUGGUGAGGUAAGAGCUCACCAAGGCAAUGACGGGUAGCGGGUUUGAGAGGAUGAUCCGCCACACUGGUACUGAGACACGGACCAGACUCCUACGGGAGGCUG
rnacentral:rRNA from 1 species